rnacentral:lncRNA from 1 species
CCUCAUGGAGUUUGCCAAGCGCCUGGCGGCGAGGUGGCCGCGCCGUCACCUUCCUCUCCAUGCAGAGGAACGUAGCCAGACUCCCGCCCGUCAUGGAGGGCCUGCCUGCCCGAGGGCGCCAAGUUCACGGCCGACGUGCCGUCGGAGAAGCACUGUUAGCAACAAUACAAGAAAGACGUCAGAAGCUCACCAGCACUGAAGAUGGAGCACUGAAGAUGGAAAAGCUGACCAACAAUACUGACGGUGUCACACCAACGAAGCGGUAGAGGCGAGGCAACACAUGAGUAUUUGGGCCCGAAUGGGUCGUGUAUUUGGUCGGACUGGUCGGUAGUUUAUAAGCUCUCUCUAGUAUUGUAAGAAGGUAUCGAAGAAUUAAUGAACAGACAAAGACGCUGGUUCUCAGCCUCGUCUUCCUCCCUGCUUUCCUCGUUUCCAAGUCUUCUUCCCCAAUCCUCAUCCUGCUCUCUUCUAGAAGCUUCCCACUACCGACGCUAACAUUUGGUAUCAGAUUAGGUCGUCCUGAAUUCGUUCUCCCGAGGUGCCCCCGAUUGUCCGCGAUGGAUCAUCAAGAUGCUAUCGUCCUCAAGCUGCUUGAUGCAAUGGUACUGAUGGAGCAGCGCUUGACAGCUGCUCUGGCUGGCCGUGAUGGCGAGCAGGCCGACGCGGAUGGCCCUGUCUCCGCCUCCAUGGUGGAUCGGGAACUGCGGUUCGACGAGUUGACCUUCAACGACGAAUCGGCACCGCAUCACCUCACGCCCAUCCACGAGGCCCUCUUCUCCGACGGCGCUGACCCCUUCUUCGGCGAGGAGCUCGACAUCCUCACCACCUCCGAGUUCGACAUCGAGCAGUCGUCUGUGGACACCCGAUCUCUGCGCACGCCGCCCUCCGCAGGAGAGUUCGAGCGCGUCGAGGACAUGCCGGGGUUGCGACACCUAGUCGUGCUCAGCGACCGCGCUGUCGCCGAUGUUUUUGUCGCGUACUCCACGCUCAAAGUGUUUGAUCAAAUGCCCAACCCAGGUUUCGAUGGAGGUCCUAUCUUUGACGAGGAACCUGUCUUCGAGGGAGAGCCGUUUCCCUCCACCACUGACUACAUCGACGCGCUGCGCAACGAGAUGAACGAGUUCAAGAGCAAGCGCGACGACGUCAAGCGCAUGGUCGACGCCGCCGAGCGCCAGGGCAUGGAGGUCACCAGCCAGGUCAGGUGCGCCCUGCUCGAGGACGCCGCCGCGCGGAUCGUCGACGAGUACCAGGUGCACCCGUAGCUUCCGCCCGACCAGGCCCCCGGCUACAAGGCCACCUACCACCUCAAGGUGAAGGCAGACUUCCACAAGGUCGCUGACGAGAUUGUCCAGAUCCGCUUCGAGGAGAUGCCGAGCGCGCCGGUCCGCAGCAAGGGCGCGCUGCUCAGCGAGCUCCACACCUGCGUCUGUGAUGACGACUUGGGCGCCGUCGGCAUCUACGGCAUUGCGAGGGUCGGCAAAAUCGCGUCCCUCAAGGUCGCAGCCGAGGGAGGCAAUGCGUUCGAGUCCGGCCUGAUCGUCAAGACCAACAGGGGCAUACUGUACGUCGACGAGGUCAACCUGCUGGACGACCACCUCGUCGAUGUGCUGCUGGAUUCCGCUGCGCCGGCAUGGAACACAGUGGAGAGGAAGGGUAUCUUCAUAUCCCACACUGUUCGCUUUAUCCUCAUUCCAUUGUAGAUUUUUCCCGUCUGUGGUAUGAUACGUCCAAUGCCCUGGCCGAGUUUCACAUCAAGCGUUAAUUACCGUAUGAAUUUGGAUGCUCGUUUUGUUUGGAAACCACCAUGGUCACUUCAAUGGUUCACUAGAGCUUCUAUCACUUUGCAUGAGUUACUUAUAUGGUUGCGUAUUUCAACAAUUAGUGUUAACAAUUUAUUGGCACAAACUGGAUUGGCAGCAACGAGAGCUUUGGUGUGUGUCCGUGCAUGUCGAGGGCAGCUCCUAUUUUACUACAACCACAUAUAUUGGGUCACAGUAAUUGUGUAUGACGGUUGGAUGAUCACAUGGCCAUCUUUCACAUGGAGGUUGCAUGAUGCAUUGUAUGAAAUUUCAGAUGGAGAUAGGAUCAGUGGUACGGCUCUAAACUUCUGCUCAGAUAACUUGUCAUAUGAUGUUGGUGCCGUCUCUGAACAAACACAACGUGGUUUCUUGUCAGUAAGGUUUGAUGUGUUACAGGAUAAAUACAGAAUGGUUGAUUGUCCAUUUAUGUUCACCAGGUCUAAUGUUCAGAGCGUUGUGCAGGAUAAAGGUUUGUUGUCUUUUUUCUGGGAUAGCCUCAUUUAUUAUGGCAAGAAGUUUUUGGAUAUCAGAUUGGUCUGGUCACACAUAUGCAUCAAGCAACCGAGGGCGGACUGGUUGUGGCUGCAAUCUAUUUUUUAUUACAUAUUCCACUCUGCUCACUUCAUUCUCAUCUGCUCUGGUACUCACAAUCCGGAAGAGCUUUUCCGUGAGAUGUUCAGUCAGGGAACAGAUGACGUGUCUGAAGUUGUGCCCGAACCUAUAGAGCAGCCCCUGGUGGUGUUGUCAUCUUCAGCAUGGUCUGGCACUGCGACAGCUACCACAUGGCAUUUACAAGAUCAAAUUCAGCAUCAAGAUAUUCUGGUACUCAUUGAUUCUGGAUCCUCUCACACUUUUCUCAUUAAUUCUGGACUGAAGCAGCUAUUCAUGUCUGUAUACUACUCGGCCUGGUCAGGGACAACUUGUCAUCAGACCCUGAAACUUAAAGGGAGAAUACAGGAGAAGUCUCUGAAUAUCUUACUGGACAGUGGUAGUACACACACAUUUGUCAAUGACAAAUUAAUUCCAUUGCUCUCUGGGGUUCGGUCCAUCUCUUAUCCUACGAAAGUUCAAGUGGCCAAUGGCCCCAUUGUUUCAGGUCGAUAUCAGUGGUUGCAGGCCCACUGGCAGAUUCAGGAAUACGAGUUUGUGUCUGAUCUACUCUUUUUACCACUUCCCAGUUCUGAUAUGGCGGUAGACAUGGAUUGGGCUCAGAAAUGGUUGGCUAUUCUCUACAAAGGCUCAAGCAUAAUCUUAUAUGGUCAGUCCCAGACAAUACCGAGUGGCACAAUUGUGGAGUUAUGGUCGUUGGACUCGGAGGCCCAGCAGUCUUCCCAGCCAUCUCAUCAUCCACAAACUCAGUCGUUGCUGUUACAGUUUGCUUCUGUGUCACGGACUCCUUUUGAGGAUAUGGCAAAUGAGUCGACAACAUGGAAGGAAAUCAAGAUCGUCUCUUCUCCUACAAGCAGGAAGCAACCGGUACACGAGAUCAACAUGAGCAGCACGAAGAAACAAGGACCUGGUUCGGGUGAAAGAAGCAGAGAAGGGAUGAGUGCUUCAAAAGCAAGAGCUGAACCAGUGUCCAUUCAUGGCAGUAGAGCAAAAGCAUCAUCAAUUCUUAUGCAAUGGGCACAAGUUUGUGUCAGGUCAAUUCUGUUGCUAGUGAGCCAAGGCAAUUUCUCAGUUUUUAUUUGGGAUCCUAGGGGUCAUGCGAAGAACAGCUUGGGAACAAGCUGUAUUUCAAGGAGUGGGGAAUGUUAGCAACAAUACAAGAAAGACGUCAGAAGCUCACCAGCACUGAAGAUGGAGCACUGAAGAUGGAAAAGCUGACCAACAAUAUUGACGGUGUCACACCAACGAAGCGGUAGAGGCGAGGCAACACAUGAGUAUUUGGGCCCGAAUGGGUCGUGUAUUUGGUCGGACUGGUCGGUAGUUUAUAAGCUCUCUCUAGUAUUGUAAGAAGGUAUCGAAGAAUUAAUGAAUAGACAAAGACGCUGGUUCUCAGCCUCGUCUUCCUCCCUGCUUUCCUCGUUUCCAAGUCUUCUUCCCCAAUCCUCACUCCUUCCUGCUCUCUUCUAGAAGCUUCCCACUACCGACGCUAACAUUUGGUAUCAGAUUAGGUCGUCCUGAAUUCGUUCUCCCGAGGCGCCCCCGAUUGUCCGCGAUGGAUCAUCAAGAUGCUACCGUCCUCAAGCUGCUUGAUGCAAUGGUACUGAUGGAGCAGCGCUUAAUAGCUGCUCUGGCUGGCCGUAAUGGCGAGCAGGCCGACGCGGAAAAGCUGACCAACAAUACUGACGGUGUGUCGGUGUCACACCGACGAAGCGGUAGAGGCGAGGCAACACAUGAGUAUUUGGGCCCGAAUGGGUCGUGUAUUUGGCCGGACUGGUCAGUAGUUUAUAAGCUCUCUCUAGUAUUGUAAGAAGGUAUCGAAGAAUUAAUGAACAGACAAAGACGCUGGUUCUCAACCUCGUCUUCCUCCCUGCUUUCCUCGUUUCCAAGUCUUCUUCCCCAAUCCUCACUCCUUCCUGCUCUCUUCUAGAAGCUUCCCACUACCGAC